UCCGCAGGGGGUUUGCCGAGUCUGAUGUGAAAUCCCGAGGCUCAACUUUGGAACUGCAUUGGAUACUGGCGGACUGGAGUGUAUGAGGGGUGAGCGGAAUUCCUGGUGUAGCGGUGGAAUGCGUAGAUAUCAGGAAGAACACCGAUGGCGAAGGCAGCUCACUGGCAUACUACUGACCCUCAUGGACGAAAGCGUGGGUAGCGAACA
rnacentral:rRNA from 1 species